AGGAUCACUUGCUAUUAAAUAGUGUAGAUUCAUGAAGUGAUUGUUAUCAGAUGAUAUUAAAAUGUGUGUAACUUUUUCAUUCUGGAUACAGCUGGAAAAAUUGAUUACAGAUAAACUGUGCCUGCCACCCAUGCCUUCCCCUGGGACUUCAUCUGCUGCAAUUCUACCAACGUGCUGCUGUCUCCCUAACAGGAAAAGCUCAUGUAUGAACAGUGCUGUUGUAAUAUAUUAAGAGUAGUGGGAAAGGCCGUGGAAGUGAGCCAUAAAUCUGGAGGCCUCCAACGUGACUGGGCCUGCUCACUGACUCCAAGCAUCCAAAGCAAGAGAACUAGAUAACCUCUCAGAGUUCCUCCCAACUCUAACAAUUCUACAACAAAUAGGAAAGGAGAGAGAUCAUUUGCCAAGAAUCAACCUCACCUGCUGCAAAUCUGAGUGGAAACCUGUGGGGCAAAGAAAGACAACAACAGAGCCUUUCCCCAGGAUGCAAACACCAUAGAACAGGACAAUAAAAUAAGAACUGACUUACCUCCUUCCAGUGACCAGCAACAGCUCAAAAGGAGUGCAGCCUCCAACAGAUGCAGCUCCUUCGGCUUCUAGUCCUUAAAUGAGUGAGAGGUGGAUCUAAGCUUCACCCAUAUCAAUCACUCAGGUACAUUGAUUGCACCUGAACAACCUGGGUUAGCCAUAGCUGGUGCUCAGCCAUUGCUUCAGGCCCUGACCUGUCAAUUCUACUGCAGAGCCAUUCAGCUGCUGCAUACAGCCCUCCUUCUGACACAACAGGGGCAUUGGACCUAUGUGCAAACCCUACGCUGUUUUCCUAUUAGUCCUUAGGCCACAAAACAUCACAAACAUCCCUUGGAUGCUCAAAAUGUGGUAACUUGGAUAUUAGGAAGAAUUUAUUCUCAGAAAGAGCAGUGAUGCAUUGCCACAGACUGCCCAGCAAGGUGGUGGGAGGUGUUUAAGGAAAGAGUAGAUGUGGCACUGAGGGACGUGGCCCAGUGGGCAGUGUUAGUGGUAGGUGGGUGGUUGGAUGUUAGAGGUCUUUUCCAACCUUAAUGAUUCUAUGAUUCUAAGAUUCCGAGGCUACGGAAAUUGUUUAGCAGGAGAGCAAUGCUGUUGGGAGAAAAAUACAAACACAUUAAUGACAUUCAGCCAAAGGAUUAUCAAAGGCAAGGAACCCAGGGCACUUAUUUAGGAAAUUAUUCAAGGAGGAGACUCUAAGGGAUGUGAAUUCGUGGUUUCCUUCCUGCGUAAUACAGGAGAGCACAGGAAGGCAGCCCUUGAAUUCAUGGGUCAUAACCCUAUCUACCGAACAGCUUGAGUACGAUCAGUUUAAAAUGAGUCUCAGUGCUCUUCUGCUUUUCCCAAGAGCACAGAAAAAUUAAUCUACCACUGAAGUUUCUCUCUGUCUCAAGCUGUAAAAUACAAGUUUGUGCCGAUAAUUAUUUUGACAGCCGUCACACGUGCCUGUUGUGAAGGAUCAGCACAGACAGUUUCCAAUAUGAUGUGAACCUGUGGUAAUGGCUAAUUAGAAUGCAUUACACAGUCAGUCCCUACAGUUCUCUGUUCCUUAAGAAAAUCUGCAUUUCGGAAGAGAGCCUUAUAUUGGAUAUAUAGGGACAAAGUUGCCUGCAGAUUUCCAUUGUGCUACGCCAUACCCAUUUGUACCAAAGCAUUUUCUUCCGUAGCUCACCAAAUAUAGCAGCUUUCUUCAACACGGGAACAAGACUCAGAAAAGGCUUUGUCCUCGUUCUCCUUAUAGACAAGCAGGUACAAAAAUACCAAGCAAUACGUAGCAGGAGCAGAAGUGUUAGAGGUUACCUAAGGAAUUUCGUACAAUGCUACUUUGACGUCAGAGUUGUCUCAAAUACUACCUGCUGUCAGUGUAAUAUCUAGAGGGUGAGUAAAUCUGUUUCUCACACAGACUUCUCAAAACCAGACUCAGAAUGAGUUAGAAGCUUUUGAAUAGGACUCUGAUUUCUAAGUCACGUAAGUAUUUGCAAUGUUACCCAGAAUCAGGUUGCACGUGCAGACUAGUUUUAAGCAGCACAAACAUAUUCACAUUCUUCUGUGCUGGAGGUAUUAAUCCACAUAUGGAUAUUCAAUUACUAUCAGAGCAAACCAUUCACGUGCACUAGAAUCAGAUAAAAAUAUGCAAAGCAGGUGGCUUGAGGCUCAUUUGUACUGAAAUUCCUUCGGCUGUUUGAAGAGACUUUGUAAUGUCAGCAUACUCCCACCUGAGUACAUUCUUUACUGUGAGCAGAGUAAAGUGGCCUUCUUGUAUGUGAAAGUUAGAUCUGAAUAUGUUCGCUUCAAGGAUACAGGAUUUUUGUUUCAAGAUAAAAAUGACCAAAUAGGUAAAAUAACCUAAUUAUUGCCUUUCUUUCAAGGACUCAAGGAACUUAUACAGUGAGAAUCUGUGAAAAAUAAAUGGAAACCUGGAUUCUACUUCUCUAAUUUUCUCCUGCUCAUCUUUUAUCCUUUCUUUCUUUUUCUUCCUCAACUCCGUAUUAUCAUUCCUGCUGUCCUUAUCAGCAUUAUUGCUUUUGUUGGCCUCCAGUUCGGAGUCCUGCCACCCCGGCACCAUUUCAUCUCUCCAGAUGCAGAGUGGGGGUUUAGGAUAAAAUCUCAUCCUUUGGGAGUCCAUGGAGAUGCAUGGGAAAAAAAAUAAAAAAGCAGAUAAGAACAGUAAGUCUAUAAAUCUCUACGUCUAUAAAUCUUAAAAUGGAUUACUGAUUACAGUGACUCUUUAAUGGAAAGAGUGACAGCUCAUGUAGACAAAAGGCAGUGUAAUUCAUGGAGGCUAUUAAAUUUGAGAGGCCUUUUCAUUCUCAUUUGUCUUUCGAUGUUAUGUGUCGAUUUCUGGGAGAUUAUUCUCUGGGGAGGAUGAGCCCUACUCAUCAGAGCCUGAAAAGUGCCUGUGUUUAUUUGUCUGCUAUUUGCCAUGGUAGGCAAUAUGUUUGCUCCUCCUGCACCAGGAUGGACAACCCACAGUGCUAGUGGAGGCUAUGAGAGGGCGCCCAUCUGUCCUGUCCUGCUUGUUGUUUGUGAGAUCAUGCUGGAUACACCCACUGGGCUUUGGGGUUCAAAGGGGCCAAAACCCCAUCACAGGACAGCAGAACAGAUGCAGCCAAUCUCUCCAUGUCUGUGAUCAUCUGGAAUGUGCUGUGUCCAGACACCCCUCAUAGCAUGGCACAAAUAUCGUAGGACAGGAAUCACCCUUAUGGCAUGGGACACGGUGGUGGUGCUUUGUUCUAGGGGCUCCUCUGCUAGUGGGUUUGCAAUGGAACCAAGGUCUUGGAUAAUGGUCAUGGAUGGACCAUACUAUGGUCGAGGAACUGGUGGCGAGAUAGUACCCAGAAUGUAGUGGUCAAUGGCUCAAUGUCUGGGUGGAGAUCAGCGAUUAGUGGAGUUCCCUGGAGGUCGUUACUGGGACCAAUGCUCUUUAAUAUCUUCAUCAGUGACAUCAACAAUGGGAUUGAGCACACUCUUAGCAAGUUUGUGGAUCACACCAAGCUGUGUGAUGUGGUCAACAUGCGCGAGGGACAGGAUGCCACCAGAGAGGCCUAGACAGGCCUCUGAGAGUGGUCUCUCAGUACCUAAAAGGCCUAUAAGCAAGAGAAGGUCAGACUCUUUAGCGGGGUCUGUUGUGAUAGGAAAAUGGGAAAUGGUUUCAAAAUAAAAGAGAGGAGGUUUAGAUUAGAUGCAAGGAAAAAGUUUUGGUGAUAAAGGUGGUGAAGCACUGGAAAAGGCUGCCCAGGGAAGUUGUGGAUGCCCCAUCGCUGGAUGGGCCUCUGUGCAGCCUGAUCUAGUGGUUGGCAACUCUGUCUGUGACACGGGUGUUGGAACUAGAUGAUCUUUAAGAUCCCUUCCAGUCUAAGCCAUUCUAUGAGCCUAUGGUUCUAUGAGACUUUGAGCUGCUACUGACCAGCAAAAAAACAGCCUGAGUUUUUUAAAUGCUCAUUCAUCAGAGUAAGAGUGUAGAACAGCAAGUGGGCACCGGGGGAGUUUACAUCCCAAAGCACUCCCUUUGCCAAGGUUGCGUUCCUUCAUUUUGAUCACAGAUUACAGAGCUAGAGUGCAAUGGUUUCCCAUGGGAAACCAGGGGCCAGCGGAGUUUCAUCAAGAAACAAGUUACUGCUGGGGCUGGGAGCAGGAUGCUUUCACUCCACAGCGCAGGAGGAUUUACUGUAACACAAACCCUUCAUGCAGGUGAUUGACUGCUACUGCUACCCGCGACAGCCUGAAAUCUGCUGCCUUUGUGUCCUUACUGUUAGUACAAUUGUUCAUUCAUGGACCAAGAGACUCCCAGCGCAUCCAAUUCCAGCCAGGCAAAGUGGCUGCGAUCCUCGUCAAAAAUCAAUUGACUGAAGUCAGACCCCACAUCUCCGGUUGCUAAGGACAGGCAAAUCCACAUUGCUCAUGCUUAGACCAGUGGUGCAGAACAUCACUUAGUGCUCACAGCUGCCUUAUGGCAACAGAGGUGGAAGAGAAGCUGCAGAGACAUGAGGAGCAGGAUCCUGUGCUGCCUGGGAGUCCUGAACGUGUGGAUGGGAAGUAACCUUGAGAGGGGGUCUGUUCCUUGACCAUGUGUUGAAAAUGCCCAUUCAGUUCUGGAGGAAAGUAUUGUCUGUUUACUUAUUUAUGCAGUUAAAAAGAUUGAGGACAUUGCUGUCAACCUCCAGGGCUCUGAAUCCAUACCCUGUCACCUUUAUCAGGUGCCCUAGUGCCCUAAAUUACUAGCUAGCUGCACUUAGCCCUGGUUGACCAUUGCAGCAGCCCCACAGGAAUAAAGACACACUCUUUUCCAAGUGUGUAUGCAGCCCACGUUAGUUUUGGUGACCUAAAAUUGCUGCCUUUCCCUCUACAGAGAGGAUGGAUUGGUCUCAUACUCCUCACUGCUGCCUGGAACCUUUGUCGCAAUGCCCCAUUGCAUCUUGGCAGCCUCACUGUUGUUUUGGGGAUGAGUCACAGGAGACUGAGCUAUCUGGUCAGAAAGGCUCAGUUUCGGUGCUGAGUCACUGCAAAGACAUUGUGGGCAGCUCGGGGCUGUGUUUGUGUUAUGCCUCCCGUUUCACAAAGGACAUUUGCUUAUUUUUGCUUGUCUAAAAGGUCACGCAUCCACGUGCAUUUACUUACUGGUGUUCCUCCAGCACAUCUGGACGAGGAUGGUGUGGCCGCUUUGUGGUCCUCACUACGUAACACGAAGUCUUCAUUGUGGUGCAUCACCCUCAUCUUCACUGUGGCUGCCUCCAGCCUGGCUCUGUCUCCAAGGCAGAUUCCAUUUCUUUUUUCUUUUUUUUCCAAAUAAAACCAAUAUUGCUAUUGCUAUGUAUUAUUUAUGCUGCGGAAAACAUUGAGAGGAAGAAAUGGGAAAAAUUAGCUCAUUCUUUCUAGAAUCUGCAAGCAGCUGAAAGACAAAGAAUAUAGAAUUAACAAAAAAAACAAAAAAACCCAACAACCUCAGCUAAUUUUGGAAAGUUUCGUCUUCACAAGAUCCACUCAUUUCAUAGCUAAUUCUUUGUAAACCGUUAUUCCUUUUGUUCCAAGUUUGGUAUAGUUUUACAUCAAGCCAAGUUCAAUGAAAGAAGAAAAAGGAGAGAUGGUUUGAAUUAUUCCCCAUCCCCUCACCCCACAAGAAAAAACUUGGGUUUGAAGAUCACAUUUUAAUAUGCAAGAAUCCAUCCAAGGACGCCCUUGCUAAUCUUUCAGAAUGCAGCAUUGUGCUCCUUCAAAGUAUUGAAAGCUGCUUGGAUUGUGAUUGAAUGCAUAACCCUGUAUUAAACUUCUAAUGGC
rnacentral:lncRNA from 1 species